ensembl:snoRNA SNORD37 small nucleolar RNA, C/D box 37
UUAUGUGAUGACUGAAAUUUCUUCACUUUGACCUGAUGUCUGUUGAAGAAUCCCAUUGUCUGAGG